rnacentral:rRNA from 1 species
AUUCCGGUUGAUCCUGCCGGCGGCCACCGCUAUAGGAAUUCGAUUAAGACAUGCGAGUCGAGAGUCGUAAUGGACUCGGCGGACUGCUCAGUAACACGUGGAUAACGUGCCCUUAAGAGGAGGAUAAUCUCGGGAAACUGAGGAUAAUACUCCAUAGUUCAUGGAAUCUGGAAUGAUCCAUGGAUGAAAGUUCCGGCGCUUAAGGAUCGGUCUGCGGCCUAUCAGGUCGUAGUGGGUGUAACGUACCUACUAGCCUAUGACGGGUAUGGGCCUUGAGAGAGGGAGCCCAGAGUUGGAUUCUGAGACACGAAUCCAGGCCCUACGGGGCGCAGCAGUCGCGAAAACUUCACAAUGGGGGCAACCCCGAUGAGGGAAUUCCUAGUGCUAGCACAAUUGUGUUAGCUUUUCUCUAGCGUAGAUAACUGGAGGAAUAAGGGCUGGGAAAGACGGGUGCCAGCAGCCGCGGUAAA